UACAGAGGUCUCAAGCGUUGUUCGGAUUCAUUGGGCGUAAAGAGCUCGUAGGUGGCGUGUCGCGUCUGCCGUGAAAGCCCAUGGCUUAACUGUGGGUCUGCGGUGGAUACGGGCAGGCUGGAGGCUGGUAGGGGCAAGCGGAAUUCCUGGUGUAGCGGUGAAAUGCGCAGAUAUCAGGAGGAACACCGGUGGCGAAGGCGGCUUGCUGGGCCAGUUCUGACGCUGAGGAGCGAAAGCGUGGGGAGCGAACAGG
rnacentral:rRNA from 1 species